AGUGAACGCUGGCGGUAGGCCUAACACAUGCAAGUCGAACGGCAGCACAGUAAGAUCUUGCUCUUACGGGUGGCGAGUGGCGGACGGGUGAGGAAUACAUCGGAAUCUACUUUUUCGUGGGGGAUAACGUAGGGAAACUUACGCUAAUACCGCAUACGACCUACGGGUGAAAGCAGUGGAUCUUCGGACCUUGCGCGAUUGAAUUAGCCGAUGUCGGAUUAGCUAGUUGGCGAGGUAAAGGCCCACCAAGGCGACGAUCCGUAGCUGGUCUGAGAGGAUGAUCAGCCACACUGGAACUGAGACACGGUCCAGACUCCUACGGGAGGCAGCAGUGGGGAAUAUUGGACAAUGGGCGAAAGCCUGAUCCAGCCACACCGCGUGGGUGAAGAAGGCCUUCGGGUUGUAAAGCCCUGUUGUUGGGAAAGAAAAGCAGCAGGUGAAUACCCCGAUGUUCUGACGGUACCCAAAGAAUAAGCAACGGCUAACUUCGUG
rnacentral:rRNA from 1 species